rnacentral:lncRNA from 1 species
ACAGGUGGCAGACACUUGUUGGUGGAAUUCUGUUACAUGUUUCCUGGAAAAUCGGCUGGGUUGAGAUCAGCAGGAGUUCAAGGUCUGAAGUAUUAUCAUGGCUUCCAGCUUCUGCACUUUUUGUGGGUAUUAUUUAUUCAGGUUCCAGGGCAUUAUCUAGAUUGCCAAUUCCUAUCUUUCUUACCUUACACAAUGCUGCAGAUGUUAUAUUUUAUGGAGUGGAAGUCUCAGUGCAGAAAAAGCAGAACUCUUCCCUAAAACUCUGCAGAGUGCUGAUUCUUCUGGUGGCUGCAGGAGGGCUUCUGUUCAAUGACCCACAGGUUAGUUGUUUUCAAAGAAAUCCUGAACUUGGUAUGAAAAGCACAAACUCUCUUGUAACAGAUGCCUGAAAUAAUGACAGAAUGAACUUCACUAAGUGGUUUUGAACUAAGGAGUAUUUUACCUAGAACAGAGUAUCUCAACUUUGGCAAGUUUAAAAUGUGUGGGCUUCGACCCCAGAAUAUUCUCCAGCAUGCAUGUUAGCCCACUGCAUUUCAGAUAUGCUACGGAACAAAGCAAGUCUACAAAAAGUGUGUAUAUUUGUGGCCCUUUAGGAGUAUUGCAUAUUACAAUAAGUUCAAUGACUUCAAACAUAUGCAGAACAUCAUUUUCAUUGUGUAUUUUAAAUUCUUCAUUUCUGAUUCACUGUGUAUAAUCAUGUAUUUUAUAACUCACCCCCCAGAAAUUGGAUGGGUUUUAAUAUAGUAUUCCUCGGCACCUCUCCAUUUUAC